GCGUGUGUGGUUUAAUGGUAAAAUCCAUCGUUGCCAUCCUCAGGAUAACUACUCGAUGGGCUCCCGGUUCGAUUCCGGGCACACGCA